CGGUCGUAGAUGGGCACGGUGAGGAGGAUGGAGCCGACGAAGAAGACGGUGAGGGAGCCCGCCGGGAUCUGGAAGGAGGCGCCGAUGUGGCGGUCCAUGGUGGUCGCCUGGGACACGGAGAAGGUGGUCAUCUGGGCGUACACCGUCCAGAACAUGAUCGUCGUCGCCCAGAUCGGCAGCAUCCUCGCCACCGUCUUCACCUCCUCCACGUCCGUCAGCGUCG
rnacentral:lncRNA from 1 species